AGAUUUCAGAUACACAAUGCAUAAGAGGUUUCCAUCAAUUCUGGAAGUGUAUUACAAAUCCAAUGAAUGGGCUGGAAUUCACGGCAUAAGGGAGAAUGACCAAAUUACAUGGUUAAGCAGCAAGAACUGAAUCCUCUGUGUCUGAACUGUUUCUUCUUCUUGAUGAUGCUUUUCACAUCCCUAUUGUGAAGCCACUUGUCACGCUCUAUUUCCCAUUGGAUCUGUUUGAUAUCUGUAAGAGGAAAGGCGAGAAAUAAGGAGCCAAUGGAUACCUCUGACCAUGAUGCGGAAUACGGAUGAAUCAUGUAAAAGUUAGAAUUUGGCUAUUGUAUUUGUAAAUGUUAAUAAAGUGCAAGUUGCCAACUUUUUUUU